rnacentral:rRNA from 1 species
AUGGAGCCGCCGCGUUCGCCUGCUCGCUUCACCGUCGGUGGGCCGAUGCUGAACAUGGUAUUUGGAGCGGCGUUUGACGGAGAUCUCCCCCGCUUCAAGAACCUGCUGAUGAUGCUGGACAUGGGCAGGGGCCGCCUCAAGGAGGCGGUGGAGGCGCUGAGGGUGGAAGAUGCCGGCAUGCUACAGGGUCUCGGGGCACUACAUGUUGCUGCCGGCAGAGAGCGGCUGGAGGUGUGCAAGUACUUGGUUGAGGAGCUGCAGGUUGAUGUCGAUGGUGUCGACAAGGGAGGUAAAACACCUCUGUUUUUUGCGAUACUUUGUAAGCAUGUGGGUAUUGCCAAAUAUCUUCUUGAUCAUGGUGCCAAUCCAAACAAAGUCAACAGUGAUGGGAUCUCCCCUUUACAUCAGGCCACUAUAUCAGGAGAUCGUGAAACUGUUAAACUAUUGCUUGCUAAAGGAGCCUAUAUCGACCCAGUAGCUUUUUGUGGGACACCACUUCAUUGUGCUGCUGCUAACGGGGAUGCGGACAUUAUGAAGAUUUUAUUGGACCACAAUGCGGAUUGCAACAAACUGGUAAAUGGUCAAACACCUCUUAUUGCAGCUGUAGGUGGUGCCUCAAUGAACUGUAUGCUUCUCUUGCUUAAGGCCGGUGCUGAUCACAAGGCAGCUUUAACCCAUUCUUUAAAGAAUCUCCAUUCUGAAAAACUUGUUUCAACUGACUUUGUCAAUUGCUUGAUGGAGGACAUUUCUGCCAGCCAUUUUCCUGAUGAUGAUGAGCCUAUGUCAAAAAGGAAAAUCAGAGCUGCAGGGUUUAAGAAAAUUGCGAAUGUUGCUUUCAAGACGGAGCAAUAUCUUUGUGCGGCAAAAUGCUACACUAUGGCAAUAAGGUUUGAUCCCAACAAUGCAACAUUGUACUCAAACAGGAGCCUUUGUUGGCUUCGCAUGGGCGAGGGAGACAAGGCUUUGUGGGAUGCUAACCAAUGCAGAAAAUUGCUGCUUGACUGCCCAAAAGCCUUUUACCGGCAGGGUGCAGCUCUGAUGCUGCUGAAGGAUUACAAAGGUGCAAGCGAGCAUUUCUUGGAUGGACUCAAGUUGGACCCCGCCAACACUGAGAUGGAGGACGCAUUACGGAAAGCUUAUGAUGCCAUGAAAGAUGUCUCGAAGCACCAAGGCUGA